UGUUAAAAAUUUCAUCCAUUAGUACUGGUAAAAACUGUCGUGGUUGACAGAAUGUCUGACAUGUGACGUGCCACGUGUAUCUCAUGCUGAUGUACAGGGACCAAUUUUGACAACAAAAAAUGGAUGAAACUUUUAACA
rfam:Gossypium raimondii Chr10_contig_1451, whole genome shotgun sequence.